AGCCGCGGUAAUUCCAGCUCCAAUAGCGUAUAUUAAAGUUGUUGCAGUUAAAAAGCUCGUAGUUGAAUUUCGGGAUUGACACAUCGGUCGUGCCUUAAGGGGUAUGAACUGGUGUAGUCAAUUUCUCACCUUCUGGAGAACCGCAAUGCCCUUAAUUGGGUGUCGCGGGGAACCAGGACCUUUACUUUGAAAAAAUUAGAGUGUUUAAAGCAGGCAUUUUGCUUGAAUACAUUAGCAUGGAAUAAUAAAAUAGGACGGAUGAUUCUAUUUUGUUGGUUUCUAGGACCACCGUAAUGAUUAAUAGGGAUAGUUGGGGGCAUUAGUAUUCAAUUGUCAGAGGUGAAAUUCUUGGAUUUAUUGAAGACUAACUACCGCGAAAGCAUUUGCCAAGGAUGUUUUCAUUAAUCAAGAACGAAAGUUAGGGGAUCGAAGACGAUCAGAUACCGUCGUAGUCUUAACCAUAAACUAUGCCGACUAGGAAUCAGACGAUGUUAAUUUUUUAAUGACUCGUUUGGCACCUUACG
rnacentral:misc_RNA from 1 species